GAUGAACGCUGGCGGCGCGCCUAACACAUGCAAGUCGAACGGUUAAAGCACCUUUUAGGUGUGUAUAAAGUGGCGAACGGCUGAGUAACACGUGGGCAACCUGCCCUCCUCUUGGGGAUAGCCUCGGGAAACCGAGGAUAAUACCCGAUACUUCAAUGUGGCCGCAUGACGACAUUGAGAAAGCUUUUGCGGAGAAGGAUGGGCCCGCGGCCUGUUAGCUUGUUGGUGGGGUAGAGGCCUACCAAGGCAAUGAUGGGUAGCUGGGUUGAGAGACCGACCAGCCAGAUUGGGACUGAGACACGGCCCAGACUCCUACGGGAGGCAGCAGUGGGGAAUCUUGCACAAUGGGCGAAAGCCUGAUGCAGCGACGCCGCGUGCGGGACGAAGGCCUUCGGGUUGUAAACCGCUUUCAGCAGGGACGAGGCGAUAAGUGACGGUACCUGCAGAAGAAGCCCCGGCUAACUACGUGCCAGCAGCCGCGGUAAUACGUAGGGGGCAAGCGUUAUCCGGAUUCAUUGGGCGUAAAGCGCUCGUAGGCGGUCUGUUAGGUCGGGAGUUAAAUCCGGAGGCUCAACCUCCGCCCGCUCCCGAUACCGGCAGACUUGAGUUUGGUAGGGGAAGGUGGAAUUCCUAGUGUAGCGGUGGAAUGCGCAGAUAUUAGGAAGAACACCAGUGGCGAAGGCGGCCUUCUGGGCCAUAACUGACGCUGAGGAGCGAAAGCUAGGGGGAGCAAACAGG
rnacentral:rRNA from 1 species